UACGUAGGGGGCAAGCGUUGUCCGGAUUUAUUGGGCGUAAAGAGCGUGUAGGCGGCCAGGCAGGUCCGUUGUGAAAACUCGAGGCUCAACCUCGAGACGUCGAUGGAAACCGUCUGGCUAGAGUCCGGAAGAGGAGAGUGGAAUUCCUGGUGUAGCGGUGAAAUGCGCAGAUAUCAGGAAGAACACCUAUGGCGAAGGCAGCUCUCUGGGACGGUACUGACGCUGAGACGCGAAAGCGUGGGGAACAAACAGG
rnacentral:rRNA from 1 species